AAAAUUCGUACAUAGUGAGGUGCCCUUGGCAAAGGGCUUAAAAAAGGAAUCCCGUUAAAAACGGGAGCGGAUCCGCCGCUGUGAUCCCGCCCUUUUCAGUUUUGCUGAGAAGGGAACUCUUUUAGCAGUGAGUGCCACUAUUCCGAAGCAUCGGGACGGGAAGGUCGCUAAAAGGGCGGGAGAGCCAGAAGACUUGCCUUACUAUGCUUCACAAA
rnacentral:ncRNA from 2 species